GUCUACUGUCAGGGUGUGGGAUCCAGAAAAAUCCCACUGGUUAACAUGAAUAAAUGCCCACCAGCAGAAAGACAAACACUGCUUCUGGUCCAAGAAACAGAGGCCUGAAUGGCCAAGGAAAGUAGAUUCUUAUCCUUGGGCAAGGGCCCAGCGACACACCAGCUCAGAAACAUGUCCCAAAGGAAGGGAGCAUCGUUACUGCCAGCUGAGUGUCUCCGAACCUCCAUCCAUGGAGGAAACAAGACGUGGGAUGAGAAGUAGGUGCGCGCGCGCACGUGCGCACAGACGCACACACAGAAAAUAAAAGUGUUAGCCUGCUGCCUGAUCGCACCCAAAUAAGGCAGACGUGCCCCAACCAGAUGUACCAGGCCUCUUCCAGAGAGCUCAUUUGUUGUGGGCCGAUUUCUACUUCCUGGUGCAAUUUACUUGGGAAAAGGGGCCUUUCAUCGUUGACAUUCUGUGAACUGGCCAGAACCAGAUAGACAAUAAUGAACUUUACAAACCCGAUUUUGCAGAAUCUGAAAAACACCCCUUGACUGUCGGUCCUCAGUACUUCCUUUCUGCUCACCCAGAGUCCUUCUAUCUUGUAUUGAUUAGCACAGGCAUCGCAUGAGCUGCUUCUUAGGGCAAGGGACUAAAUCCAACAAGAGGUGCCAUGUUGUUUUCAUUCCCCAAGGAUUUCACAGGUCUCCCUUGCUGAGCUGUGAGCUCCCGGCGCUCAGAUGGAAUCUUCCUCUUCUUGGCAUGGACUUGAGCAACCCGCCCUGCUCCUGUCCUGCAGCCAGGAGCUGGGCGGGUUGCAGAAGACAAGGCACGUGCAGAAGACGAGGCUGAGAGGGACUCCGUAUUGUCAAGGCAAGUGUGGGACGCAGCACGCAGACCAACUUCGGAAUCCAGAAAAUACCCUCGACCAUGUCCGAGUGAGGCUCAUUUCCCCUGAGGAUGGCACUAAACGCAACAAAGUUCUUCAAUAUACUGUAUUAAAAACUCUCCGGGGACAAAAAAAAAAGCACUUUCAAGUGGUGUUUAGAAACUUGCCACCCCUUGCCUUUCUUCAUUUCUGAAUCUCUUGGAUGCUUCAUAAAACAAAGGAGAAAAGUGCCGCUUCUGUGCUAAAUACGUACACAGGAUUCCUCUGUCUUACAGAGAAAACAGUACAGACCCAGUUGUUUCCCAACAGUCGUAGGACUCAUACCUAAUGCCGACGGACUACCAAGCGUAUUUGCACAAACUCUUAUCACACUCAGCACAUGGAAUCUCCAGGCGUGGCCAUGAAAGAAAACGGCAUGUUCUCCUUGUCAAAAUGCCCUCUCCUUGCCAGCCCCCUGCACCAAACUGAACAACCACAGGACCUGAAUUUAACAAGUGAUGUUUCCCUUUGUUCUUCUGGAUGUUAUGUAUACUCAGGAGUAGCUCUCUCUGGGUUGUUCAAACACUUCAUUUAUUUAUUUAGUAUUUACUGAGUAUCUACUAUGUACCCCACAUAGUCAUGGAUUAAAGAGAUUCUUGCUUAGCUUCUGUAUUAGGAUUUCUCAACCUUGGUACUGUUGCCAUUUUGAGCCAGAUAAUUCUUUGUCAUGAGGCUGUUCCAUGCCUGGUAGGAUGUUUAGCAUCCCUGGCCUUGACACACGAGAUACCAGCAGCACCUCC